UGAAUAAUAGUUCUUUAUUCUAUCUUUCUCUAUGUGUUCCUUUGAUUAUGUUCAUAUUCAUAUACUAGUCGCUAAAUAAUGGGGUUAGGAAAGUGUUGCAAGAGAAGAAAUAUAAGGAACAACUGAGAGUCCCUAUCAUAGAAGUACAGUGCCAAACGAUAUCAUGUUAUUCAUCUUGAUUCAAGGUAAGGAUUUCAAUAUCCAUUUCUUAUAUACCACAUACAUAUACACACACAUAAUCUUGAUAAGAAACAACAGAUAUUGGAUGAUUCUUUAACCGAGCAACACAAAAAGGGAGAUUUUCAUCCUGUGUUAGUAACUAAUAAAUUUUUAAUAUAGUUGAUUAUCGGUUACGUUUCUUAUCAGAUUGGGUGCCAUUUCAAACUUGAGAGUUGAGACCUGGACAAUUUUCAAGUUUAAGGGACUUUAUUAGUAAGAAGUUUAAAUUUGAAGGAUUAAAUAUAUUUUAAUUGAGAAUAAAACUUGAAGUAUUUUAAAUUGAAUUGCUUUAUAUUAAAGAAAAAAAACAUUCACAAUACACUGUAUUACCUGAAUAUUUGAGGAUGCUUAUUCUUCACCAUUUAAUAUUUUAUCAUUUUUCUUAAUUAGUCACUAUUCAAUUAUUUGUACAUGAUUUAUAUUGAAAUUAAAAGAAAUGAAUUUACAUGACAUAGGCUAUAACUAAUAUGCAUUAAGUUGUCGUUUUUAUAUAUGUUUUGAUGUAUCUUCGAUUGAAUAUGUAUACACCAUAGAAUUUUAAAUUAAUUGAUUUUAGGUUUAGAAAAUAUAUAAUUAAACUAUUAAUCGUUAUAAAUAAAAUUGAUCAUGGUAUGCUUUGAUUACACAAUGAUGUGUCUUAUUGAAUCGGUGUUUAUAUUUUAGCUUUAUAUAUGAACUAUAUUAGAUUCAUAUAUAUGAAAUUUAUGUGUGGUAAAAGAUAUAUUUGCAAAGUAAUUUUUUGUUUUAUGAAUUCUAAUGUUAAGGAAGAAAAACUUAUUUGCAAAUAAUUAAACGGAUAUAAUAUUAAACAUCAUGGUUACUUAUGGAGAUAGUUUGUACUUGUUAAAGUAAAGCGAAAACAUUGAAAAUAUUAGAUGUGAGACAAAGUUGAUUAGUAGUAUUAUAAUAAGUUGCUACAUAAAAUAAACUAGGGUUAAAGACCCGCUCGCGUUGCGGCGCGGGUACAUCGUAAAUAUUGAAUGGAUUAGUCCAAACGUUAUAUAAUGCAUUAACCAUAUGAAAACACACAUUUCGACGUAUCCAGUUGAACUAAGUGUAACCUGUAUAAGCAUUUGUCAUUGGAUCAAACGUAAAGUAAAUGAAAUUCAUAUCGAAGAAUAACUUGAAUUUAUACGAAAACGUACAUAAAAAUAUGCACGUAAAAAUGGUUUCUUUAAACGAAAACGUAUUAUAUUUGACCUGACUCGUGUAUAAAAAAAGUUUACGUCGGAAUGUAGAAGAAAUCAUAUUUAUACAUACCCGUAUAUAAAAUAUGCACGUAAAAAAUAGUUUCUAAGUAAAAGAAGUACAGGGGUAAACCGAAACAAAAUAUUAGUAAAAAAAUUAAUAGGUUAAAAACGUUCGUAAAACCGUGCCAAGUAGCACCAAUGCCACAACGACAUCGACUCUCAACGUCGUAAAAAUAAAAUAGAUAAAAUGGUAAAAAUUACACUGAACGAAAAAGAGACUAAAAUCGUUGAACCACGCACACCCGUUACAGUGUGUUAACGUGAAGAAAUUAACCAGAAAUGUAAAACGUAGAAAAUAAUAACUUAGUCGAUCUAGGACCCGCCCAUUGCGGCAAAGUUUUCAAAAGGUAAAAAAUGGACGCGUUGCGACGGGUCUGUCAAAUAUGGGAAAAUAGAGCAAAAACAUUGAACCUCACAUGCACGCUAUAACAUGUUAACUCGCAAAAUUUAGAACGAAACGUAAAAAUAAAAACUUGUGAAAGAUAAAAAGUAUGGGGGACCAAAGUUAUAAAUAAUAAAGUAUUGUGUUAAAUUAAAAAAGAUGAAAAAGUUUGAGUUCAAAGUAAAAAUUUCAAAUGGGUUAAAAUGUAAAACAUAAAACUUUAAGGUUGAAAGUGGAAAAUCAAGUAAUGGGUUAAAAUUUAAAAGAGAAAACUUUAAGGUUGAAAGUGGAAAAUCAAUAUUUUUUUUGAAAAAGCCCCAAAGCAAGGGGUACAAAUGAUGAUGCACAAGAAAGUUACAAAUUUAUAUAUGGAAUAAUAUAUUGCUUGUAAUUGAUGAAAGUGGCAUUUUAUAUCAUAUAGUUUUGGUAUAACUUGUUUUUAUUUGACUACAUACUAUAAUGGCUUAUGUUAUAUAAUUUGAUUUUAUGGUAUGUCUUGUUAAUUCUAUGGUGUCAUUUAUUUAUAUAGACAAUACUGAAAUAAACAACUAACCUAAAUUAAUUUUAAAGUUAUAAGUAUUUGGUUGAAUUUAAAAAUAAAAAUUAAAAGAUCUUACUUAGAGUUAAAGUCCAUUGCUAUGGGAUUUGAUUUUAUUUUGUCAACAAUGAUUUGUGUAAUAAGAAAAAUAGGUAACAUUCAAAGUAUGAAUUCCAUAUGCACAUGAUAAGUAUUAAAGAUGCAUAAUUUUACAAUAUCUUCAUCAUUUUUGUCCUUUAUAGAACGAUAACGUUUUCAAAGUCAUGUAGUUUAUAUUAAUAAACCGAUGAAAAGUUAGAUCAAACCAUUUUGUGUUAUAUAUGUUUUAUAAAUGCUAUUGAAUAUUUAUAUAGAUAUUUAUAAACAUAUAUUUUCUUGUAUCGGGAUGAAUAAAUCUUAUUUUAUGAAGUCUUAUCAUUUGGUUAUAUGGUGACAUGUUAUAAUAUUAUGUAUACCUUGAUUAUGUUAUUAUUUAUUGGGUAAUAUUAAACAAACAAUUAAACCAAUGUGGUGGUUUAUUAUCGAUCUCAUAUAAAGAGUAUAAAUAUACCUAAUAUGACACUCGAAGUGUCGUACUCUCUAAUUCUCAUUAUUUUAGACCAAUAAUACAUGACUCGGUCAUGUAAUAUCUUCUAAAUUCACAUUAUGUGGUGAGAAGAUUAAUUAGAAGGAAAAGUUGGAUAAAUAAUUUUCCAUUUGUCACAUCUAAGAUAUACUCUUGAAGAAGUAAUAUCAUCAAGAAAUUAUGAAAAGUUUAAAAUGAUAUUAUAUCCACCUGACCUAUGAGGCUAUUUUUGGCUCUACUCCAUUCCUUGAAGUAAAUGUGACUAUGUAUUGAUCAUUGUGAUCAUGGACGUAUUUGAGAAAUUGUUACGAUGGUCAUAUUAAUAAUGAGAUCAUUUAUCAACAAAUGUAAUAAUAGACCACCAGAAUGAGUGAAAAAAUGGAGUGAUCAUAUGAGAAUAAAGUGUUGAAAGUUUGAGAUGAUAAUACGAUGUUCUCAUAUUGUAUAUGUUUCUUAUACAAACGAUGUGCACAUAAUAUGUAGUGCAACUAAUACUUUAUGGUUAUAAACCAUAAGUUUAUGGAUCACGAUAUGUAAUUUGCAUGACCGGUUAGACCACACCGAGUCAUUGGUGAUGUGAAAUGUAUUGAACAAUAUUUUUUCUUGGUAACUAUGCAUGUAAUGUUUGCUCU
rnacentral:lncRNA from 1 species